ACCCCGGGAAAGUCAACCGCUCGCACUUGAUCACGCACGCGCACCCCUUCAGAUGCAGUCAUAAACGUACAGCCAGAAAGUAGCACGAGUAGAUAGAGACGAAGCCGGGGACAUCACACGCUUACGCGCAUUGCAACUCAGCUCUCAUGCGGAUAAAGGGCUGCUGCUGAGCGUGAGCGUGUAUAUGUGUGCAUCACAUUCUCUUCGCCGAUCUCCCACUCGCCACUCUCGCUCCGUAUUGCCCAUAACGUGCUGCCGAGGGCGUGGGGUAUUGACUCGCGCGCACUAACGCGCGUUGACGCGGUCAGCCCCUCCGCGGCAGCACAGUCUUUCUCUGCGCGCCCUCCGUCGAUCUCGCGCUACGCGCAACGCGGGCCGUUGCAUGACUGCUGGCACUGACGAGGCGACGGUGGACUACAUACGGAGCCACCUCGAUGAGGACCUGGAGGAGGUGGCGCGGCGAUCCGGUCCGCCGCUCAUCCGCCCCUCCCUGGCGCCGUUUCUCACGCCCACCGGGCUGCUCAACCUGCCUGGUGUAGCGCCAUCCCUGCGGAGCCAAGGCAGCAGCAGGGAGCUUGUGCAUCCCGAUGGCACCCCCUUAUCGCCAGCGGCGCACACGGUGACUCUCGUUCUCCAGGUCAUGUCAGUCAAGGAUGUGAGUCUCUCGCGCGAGCAGCGCAGCCGCGUUCUCGUGCACUCCCUCUCCUCCAUCCGCAGCAGCUCUGGUGCAACGCCCAACGCAGCGCUAAAUGACGCGGGCACAGACACCGCGGCCCCCCUCGCCGACGCCACCCUACAGGAGAUGGAGGAGCAGCAAGAUGAAGAGGCGCAGAACCACAUACCGCUGCGGCCAAGCGGCGGUCAGUGGCGGUGCCUGCGGCUGGAGUUGUCGGACGGCUUCCAGCGUGUGCUCGCCGUCGAGGACGCCUCUGCGCGCACGCGGCAGCGCUAUGGUGUACUGGCCAAAGAAGGCAUCACGCUUGGUGCCAAACUGCACGUGCGCUUGACUGCAUCGGUGUCGGAUACCACGGUCAUCUCUGUGCCAUGUGUGCAGCAUGGCGUUCUCCGGCUGCACGCGGGGAACACAGAAGUAAUGGGUGGCCGUGUGAGGGCGCUAGAGGUAUACUGGGAAGCGCAGGCGCGGCAGCAACUAGCGGCGAGCACUGGACGUCCCUCGAAGCAGCAGCAGCGGCAACAGCAGUACCAGCCGAUGAGUCUUACCGACGCACCGAUGAUGUCGACCUCCGCCGCCCCUGCGCAGCAACACCCGCAGCCGUCGCAACAACUGGUCGUAGCUUCCCCAGUCAGCUCACCAGCACUGCCACCGCAACAGUCGCAGUCGCUCGCAGCUCUCCCUCUGCAGCCCCUUCGAUGCUGGCCCGCCCACGCCGCCCAGCAUCCGCCCCAUGUGCCCUUCUGCACGGUGGCCUUCAUCACGGAAGUGGUGUCGGACAUGGUCAUCAAUGAACCAUCCCCUGGUGCCGCCCACAACGGCCACCACGUCGGGGCAGAGCCGAACCCUGCAAGAGACGCCUUCACGUACUCGCUUCUCGUGCAACUGUCCUCGCCAAACGCUGUGGAGUGCGAGACACAGCAGCAGCUAAGCAACAGCCCCUCCGUGCAAGGCGAGGAGCUGGAGACGGUGAGCGAGGACGAUCACCUCACCGUCGACCUUGGCCAUGCCUGGCUGCAUCAGCUGGUGGGCAUGCCCGCAGAUGCGUUUCGUGCGCUGUCCCGAUCGAACGCUGAGGCAGAUGUGGAGCUGCUGACGCGCACAGUGGAAGCCGUCGGGCACGCGCUGGAGCGGUUUGGCAAAGGGCGUUUCACGCUGGUGCGGCGGGCAGGGGACGGCAUUGUGGAGGUGAUGCACGCUGUGCCGGAGCCGUGAUCGAAGCAGACAGCACGAAUGCGGGGAACGAAGCAGCACCGUAGCGAUAGACACUCUCUCUGUCGGGUCCUGCUCCCUCGUCUUCUCCCGUUGACGGCAACGCCGCUCGUCUUUGUGAUAGGACCAGAGUUCUCCACCACCGCCAUUGUCACAGUGGUGAUGGCGCUGGUAAUCCUUGCCAUCGUUUUAGUGUGUCUUCCAUUCUCUGCAG
rnacentral:misc_RNA from 1 species